UACGUAGGAUGCAAGCGUUGUUCGGAAUUACUGGGCGUAAAGAGUACGUAGGCGGUAAAAUAAGUCUGCUAUUAAAGACCGGGGCUUAACUUCGGGAGUGUAGUGGAAACUGUUUUGCUAGAGGACAAUAGAGGAAGUCGGAAUUCUCAGUGUAGCGGUGAAAUUCGUAGAUAUUCGGUGGAACACCAGUGGCGAAGGCGACUCGCUGGACUGAUACUGACGCUGAGGUGCGAAAGCGUGGGGAGCAAACAGG
rnacentral:rRNA from 1 species